UGGGGAAUAUUGGACAAUGGGCGAAAGCCUGAUCCAGCCAUGCCGCGUGUGUGAAGAAGGUCUUCGGAUUGUAAAGCACUUUAAGUUGGGAGGAAGGGCAGUAAGCGAAUACCUUGCUGUUUUGACGUUACCGACAGAAUAAGCACCGGCUAACUCUGUGCCAGCAGCCGCGGUAAUACAGAGGGUGCAAGCGUUAAUCGGAAUUACUGGGCGUAAAGCGCGCGUAGGUGGUUCGUUAAGUUGAAGGUGAAAGCCCCGGGAUCAACCUGGGAACUGCAUCCAAAACUGGCGAGCUAGAGUAGGGCAGAGGGUGGUGGAAUUUCCUGUGUAGCGGUGAAAUGCGUAGAUAUAGGAAGGAACACCAGUGGCGAAGGCGACCACCUGGGCUCAUACUGACACUGAGGUGCGAAAGCGUGGGGAGCAAACAGG
rnacentral:rRNA from 1 species